UUCCUUGUUUGGGCUUAAAUAUGUUCCCUGCCUAAAAUGUGGCUCCCAGGAGGCUGUAUUAGCUCUCAAACGGCUCGCUGCAAUGCAUCUCUCCACUGUGUUUCCUUGCAGGCCGUAUCUGUGUGACAUCAAUUGUGCUGGGAGCAGCGCUUUCAUAGACUGCCACAUCUCCGUGCAGGCAU
rnacentral:lncRNA from 1 species